rnacentral:rRNA from 1 species
CGCGUAGGCGGCCCGGUAAGUCAGGUGUGAAAGCCCGGGGCUCAACCCCGGAAGUGCAUUUGAUACUGCCAGGCUUGAGUAUGGGAGAGGGAAGUGGAAUUCCUGGUGUAGAGGUGAAAUUCGUAGAUAUCAGGAGGAACACCGGUGGCGAAGGCGACUUCCUGGACCAAUACUGACGCUGAGGCGCGAAGGCGUGGGGAGCAAACAG